ensembl:lncRNA
ACAGGCCUGUGCCAAUUUAUCACGCUGGCCGUGCAGGAAUCUUCAAAGAUAACGAGCCCAUCUGCUCAAGCUAUUCGUCAACAAUAAAAUGGAGAGGCGUGAAACGAAGCCAGCACGUUGUACUAUCUCUGGAUGUUUAAUGGCUGUGCACUAUAGCGAGGAAAUGCCUGGGUUAAUAGGAAGCAGAGACACUUGCACGUCUCAUCAUAUCUCUGAGUCCUGGCUAAAAAGUGAGAAUCCCUAAAUCCGAAAGGAGAAAACGCAGUUAGAGUUUCAGAUGAGGCAUGAAGAAAGGUUUCAUAUGCGCUGGUCUAAAUGUGCUGUAAUUCAACGAGUCUGUACUGAGCAGUACAUUUUUAGACAAUUAUAGUUAUAGUUAUAGUUAUAUUUAUAGUUAUAGUUACACUGGCUGGUAUUUUCCAACAGUGAAGGCGCAUUCUUCUUAAUGAAAGAAAAAAUCUAGUUUACAUUCUUAGUCAAAUUAUGUAUUUAUGUUGGUUCUAUAUGGUUUAAAAAAAAUGUGUGUGUGUGUGUUAAUUUUCUCCAUUAACACACAACUUAUCCCUUCACAAGAUGUUAAGUGAUGGACUGUUUUUCUGUGGUUACUCAUGGAUUAUUGUGAUGUUUUUAUCAGUUGUUUGGACUCCCAUUCUGACGGCACCCAUUCACUGAAGAGGAUCCACUGGUGAGCAAGUGUUGCAAUAAAUUUCUCCAAAUUUGUUCUUAUUAAGAAACAAACUCAUCUACAUCUUAAAAUGGCCUGAGGGUGAAUAAACUGUCAGCAAAUGUUCAUGUUGGGGUGAACUAUUGCUUUAAGAAACACUCUUAGGCCUGAGCAUGAGUGGCAUGAGUCAAGCAGAACUUUGCACAGCCCCUGUGCAGGUGUCCGAACAAGAAGUGAGUGGAUGUCGCCCACUUCUGCCAAGUUCCUUUCAUUUCCAAGAGCUCGAUGCCUACAGGCCAAAACUGUAAGUGUUGAAAGAUGUCUCCUCCUUGACCUGUUGAGUGAUGCACAGGUUGCCCAUCACUCGAUGUCAUCCCUGGAGAAGGUUCACUUACCAGUGCUGGUUUUCUUUCUGAAAUCAGGCAGGGUGUUAUUUUUAGUAAUGUAA